CCCUUAGAUGUCCGGGGCCGCACGCGCGCUACACUGUUCGACGCAGCGAGUCUUAACCUUGACCGAAAGGUUUGGGUAAUCUUCAGCAAAGUCGAACGUGAUGGGGAUCGAUCAUUGCAAUUAUUGAUCGUGAACGAGGAAUUCCUAGUAAGUGCAAGUCAUCAGCUUGCGCUGAUUACGUCCCUGCCCUUUGUACACACCGCCCGUCGCUACUACCGAUUGAAUGGUUUAGUGAGAUCUCUGGAUUGACGCUGGCUAGGGGGCGACCCUUGGCCAGGCUGUCGAGAAACUGCUCAAACUUGAUCAUUUAGAGGAAGUAAAAGUCGUAACA
rnacentral:rRNA from 1 species